rnacentral:rRNA from 1 species
UACGUAGGUGGCGAGCGUUGUCCGGAUUUAUUGGGUUUAAAGGGUGCGUAGGCGGUCCUAUAAGUCAGUGGUGAAAUAUCGUAGCUCAACUGUGAGGGUGCCAUUGAUACUGUAGGACUUGAGUGAAUUUGAGGUAGGCGGAAUUGACGGUGUAGCGGUGAAAUGCUUAGAUAUCGUCAAGAACACCGAUAGUGAAGACAGCUUACCAAGCUUCAACUGACGCUGAGGCACGAAAGUGUGGGGAUCAAACAGG